AGUGAACGCUGGCGGUAGGCCUAACACAUGCAAGUCGAACGGCAGCACAGUAAGAGCUUGCUCUUACGGGUGGCGAGUGGCGGACGGGUGAGGAAUACAUCGGAAUCUACUUUUUCGUGGGGGAUAACGUAGGGAAACUUACGCUAAUACCGCAUACGACCUACGGGUGAAAGCAGGGGAUCUUCGGACCUUGCGCGAUUGAAUGAGCCGAUGUCGUAUUAGCUAGUUGGCGGGGUAAAGGCCCACCAAGGCGACGAUCCGUAGCUGGUCUGAGAGGAUGAUCAGCCACACUGGAACUGAGACACGGUCCAGACUCCUACGGUAGGCAGCAGUGGGGAAUAUUGGACAAUGGUCGCAAGCCUGAUCCAGCCAUACCGCGUGUGUUAAGAAGGCCUUCGGGUUGUAAAGCCCUUUUGUUGGGAAAAAAAAGCAGCAGGUUAAUACCCCGCUGUUCUGACGGUACCCAAAGAAUAAGCACCGACUAACUUCGUG
rnacentral:rRNA from 1 species